rnacentral:rRNA from 1 species
UACGUAGGGUGCAAGCGUUGUCCGGAAUUACUGGGCGUAAAGGGCGCGUAGGCGGCCUACUAAGUCAGACGUGAAAUCCCCCGGCUUAACCUGGGAACUGCGUCUGAUACUGGAAGGCUUGAGGAUGGGAGAGGGAUGUAGAAUUCCAGGUGUAGCGGUGAAAUGCGUAGAUAUCUGGAGGAAUACCGGUGGCGAAGGCGGCAUCCUGGACCAUUACUGACGCUGAGGCGCGAAAGCUAGGGGAGCAAACGGG